GCCCGUCGUUGAUGUUGUAUUUGGUAUAGAAUACGUAAUUUCAUUUUCUGUUAGUGUUACGCGCCAGAGCGCGAGUGUUGCUUCAGAACCAGUACGAAGGGGUUGACACAAAUACGUUUGAUUGGUAGAUUGCAAUAAUAACUGUUAUAAAGGGUAAAUGCUACAUAUCAGUGGAAGGAUAUUACCACAGUGGUGCCCCAUUGUAAUAAGGAACUUUUAUGUUUACCCUUGAGGAAAAGCGCUUCCAACGAGUGUCCGUUACAGAACAUGUCACUUAAUUGAAAAUGCUGUUGCUUUUGUAGUGCAGUAUUUUAAUAUACUGGUACUGAUUGUUGCAGAAUUAUGUUACGCUAAUCAGUGAAGUUGUGGUUCUGAUGGCAGUAAUGAUAAUGUACAUAUUGUAUCAGAAUAUUUAAACCUAGGGAUGUGAAUUUAACAAUAAUGCUUACGUCAACUAGAUCAUGACAUCAAUAGUAUAUAGAUAGGUGCCUGUGUUACAUUACCAAAUGUUUUGUUAGAAGUAUUACUAGAUAAAAACAGUAAUAUAUGUGGAGCAGGAAUGAUUUCCUUUUUGAAAGCGUCCGUUUUCCUUUUAGUAUCAAGUAAUUUAAAAGUAAUUCCCAUAAUUAUCGGUAUGAGUUAAAGGUUAACCCAUAUCAUUUUUCAUUCUAGUGUCGUACUUCCGAUCACCUCUGUUAAUCUCAAACUCAGAAUUGUCAUUAAUGACUAAAUGUACUCUGAGGCUGUGGUUAAUGUUACCAGUUGAUAAGUGAUGCCUGCAAGAUUUACACGAGUGAAUACGAAACCUAAUUCUAAUUACUCUCCGUGGUGGAAUGAAUACUCAUUGCUUAACUGAGGAAAUAUCCCAGAAUUAGACAGCAGCGAAUGAAAAUGUGCAAACUUACUGACUCACGUACCCUUGAAGUUGGCAGUUAUUCUGAGGGCAAAUGUAGCUAAGUGUUUUAGCAGACCUAGCAUAUGAUAUUGCCACCUUAUGUUUUCAUCAGUAUGCACACCAAAAACCUUUACAUUAACACAUACCAUUUCAGUCUUGCCACUUGCUUCACUACAUUACUAUUGAUGCUGUCAAAUUACACAUGAAGAUGGUCCUUUCAUGACUGAAGCUGGUUGAUUAAUACAGUAAAAAAAUAGCUGUGUGCAAACCACAAUUUUUCAAUUUUUUUCUAAUAUGUUACAGUAAUGUACAUGAUAUGAAAUCCGUAAGAUGGUGAGAGAGGAGUGUGCUUAUCACAUACACCAUCUGCAUGAUGUCUCAAGGUAGAGGAAGACAUGGUGGCUGAUCGACAUUACUUGGACCUUCGCGGCAUGAAUGAGGAGCUAGUGGGUCCCGCCCCAUACCUCAGUGGCUGUCCAUCAUUGGCUACCGCUAGCGUCUGCCGCUUCCAGAUGGGAACGCCAAUUCCGUCAAAGCGGAAAACGCUUGCCGCUGCCGUUGUCGCACGACGCGCUGCCGCGCUCUAGUGGGAACCGGCCUUAAAGGCCGGUUACAGACGCAGCGGCUCGUGACGACGCAGGAGCCGCCGAUGCAGCAGCGGGCAACGCCCCCCGCCGACCGGUCCUCGGAGACAGCGUCACUGAUGACGACGACGUGACAGAACCGAACGCCCAGUCGGUCGAAACGAAUGCCGACGCCCAGACCGCCGCUGAAUCCACCGGUUACGCGGCGGCGUGUUUAUUAGAAGGUUCUCGAUGAGUUGACUAACGCAACGCGGCCCGCGCCUUCGUAAUUCUGCUAAUGUUGCGUUCUGGCUGUUGGUGGCUGUGGCACACGUACACACAUACCGACGCUCGUUGCAAAACUGUAUCACCUGCAUAACGCGCCGGGCGGUCUUCGUCCGCCGUAUGCCGUGAGGCUGGCACAUCGCGCUCUGAAACACACUAAAUCGCAAGUUCGCACCGUAUUUCCGAAAAAUAACCCCUUGACCUCUACUAUUUAUAGGAAAUAAGAAAUAUUAGCUUUGUAAGAAAAAUUUGAUUUCCAAAAUUUAAGACAUCUGCUUUGUUAUUUAAUAGAUAUUUAAAAUUAAGUACAACAUUAUAUUUCUUUCUUAUUCUUCAUAUAUAAUAAAGUACACUGCUUACAUUUAAUAUUAUGUUUAUCUUUAUAAGAUGGUUCAAAAUGGCUCUGAGCACUAUGGUACUUAACUUCUGAUGUCAUCAGUCCCCUAUAACUUAGAACUAUUUAAACCUAACUAACCUAAGGAUUCGAACCUGCCUCUGGAGCAGUCGUGCGGUUCCAGACUGAAGCGCCUAGAACUGCGUGGCCACUUUUGUGAAGGAUUUGUGUAACAACAAUUCAAAUUUUUAAUCUCUUGACAACCUUUACAUUUCUUUGUAGAUGAAUCAGUGUCCUACUUUUCAACAUUUUCCAUUGAGAAUAAUAUUUCCGAAUGUUCUUCACUUGGAAUCCACCAUAAACGUACUUUGUAAUAAUAUUUAGCAAUAUUUUGUCCACAUACAUAAGGAAUUCGAUUUUAUUGUAUUUUUCUUACGUUAUAUUUAGUUACACAUGAUCUGCAUAUCGUUCUGUAACCAUCAUUUGUGUAUUUCUGUAAUGUAAAAGUUUGAAUUGAUUUCUCAGUAUUACAAUAUUUGCAAAAUUUGAAUUUAGUCAGACACAGGUUCAAAAGGCUGCUUUCAGCUGGCAGUGACUCAGUUUAAAUAGAAUAUAAUUAAUUAGAUUUGUGGGAAAGUAAAAUUUUCUAAUUUUUCCAAUCUGUCUUUCAAAAUAGUUAUUAGUUCAGGAACUAAAGUAGAUGGUUUGUUACAAUCAAUAUCAAAUAAAGAUAAAUCAGUUGUACCAUCUAUAAAUACUUUUUUGUAAAUUCAUUGUAUUCGUAGAAUGUAUCAUCCUUAAAAAAUACAAUAAUCCAUUAACAUAUCUAAAUAUCGAAUUUAUUCCAGUAGGUAAGCCAGGAAAUUAUCUACUUAUAAUUCCUUGUAAUUAAAUGUAAAAUUUUAUUAAUUUAAUUCUACAUAAAAAGUUCAUUAAAGAAUAAAAAUGUUCUACGUGAAUAAGUGUUAACUACACCAUUUAACAAAAAGUUUGUAUGUAAUUCUGUAGUAGAUAUUGAGUUUGGAUAUCCCACAUUUAAUUGUAAUGUGUGGAAAUUCAUCAAGUAUAUCAUAUUGUCUACAAAUAAAAUAACUAUGCCACUUUGUC